GACACAGAAUUCAAUUAAACGCAAGUGAUGACCUUUUAGGUCAUCACAGUUUAGCUGUCUAUGUUGUUUCUGCAUCUAAAAUUUAUUUUUUAUCAUAAUACAAUGACUUUCAUUAUCUAUUAACUUAUUCACCCUUAUUUUUGUAGUUAAAGAUGUCCUUGCCAUUGUGAUUAACAGUAGCCCGACAACAUAUGCUUCAAAUGAAAGAAAAAUUCUAGAAUUUAUCAUCAGAGACAAUCACUGAAUACAUACCUCUAGGAAAAACCAACAGAAUUUAUACUUUGGGAAGUUUUUAUUGAUCAUGAUGGGAAUAAACUACUGGGAUAGCAUAAUGAAUACCCAGUCAUUCUUGCUAGAAAAAUUAGAAGACCGAAAUCAUCCUCAGGAAAGCUUUUUAAUUCCUCUCAAGGUCUUAUGUUUCUGGAGGCCUUUUGAGACUGACGGCUUGUGGCUUGAUUAGACCAAUUAAUGAUUCGACGCAGUGGAGGCUGAUUCGAGGGGCAAAGGCAUCACGAGC